rnacentral:tmRNA from 1 species
GGGCCAGUCAAGGUUUCGACAGGGGUCCUGCAGCUGGAGAAGCUACCCGCAGGUGAUGCGUCAAAUCACAAACCUAAAUAUAAACGCUGAAGACAAUACUUUAGCUUACGCUGCUGCUUAAAGCAGCGUUGUCCGAACCGGGGCACCUACACUUCGGAGCUCGGGCAUCGACUAUGUAGGAAACGACACCGGCAAAGCUUUGAGCCUGUGGGCGUAUGAUGAAGCUACUGAAACCGCGGGGAUGUCCGUUUCCGCGCGGCGGAGGGAAUGGAAGAGGCGUAAGCCUUUUCGGUAAGAACUGACUACGGUAGUAGAAGGACAGGGAAUGGGCUUUUGGACACGGGUUCGACUCCCGUCUGGUCCAUAG